AUACGGAGGGUGCAAGCGUUGUUCGGAAUUACUGGGCGUAAAGCGCGCGUAGGUGGUCUGUUAUGUCAGAUGUGAAAGUCCACGGCUCAACCCUGGAAGUGCAUUUGAAACUGGCAGACUUGAGUACUGGAGGGGGUAGUGGAAUUCCCGGUGUAGAGGUGAAAUUCGUAGAUAUCGGGAGGAAUACCGGUGGCGAAGGCGACUACCUGGCCAGAUACUGACACUGAGGUGCGAAAGCGUGGGGAGCGAACAGGAUUAGAUACCCGAGUAGUCC
rnacentral:rRNA from 1 species